rnacentral:rRNA from 1 species
AGCUCCAAUAGCGUAUAUUAAAGUUGUUGCAGUUAAAAAGCUCGUAGUUGGAUUUCGGGGCGGCCUGUCUGGUCCGUCGCGAGACGAGUACUGGUCAGCCGCCCUUCCUCUCGAAAGCCCCGACUGCUCUUAACUGCAGUGGUCGGGUAGUUCGGGACGUUUACUUUGAAAAAAUUAGAGUGUUCAAGGCAGGCUCUGGCCUGAAUACAUUAGCAUGGAAUAAUGGAAGAGGACCUCGGUCCUAUUUUGUUGGUUUCUGGGGCCGAAGUAAUGAUUAAGAGGGACAGUUGGGGGCAUUCGUAUUUAAUUGUCAGAGGUGAAAUUCUCGGAUUUAUGAAAGACGAACAACUGCGAAAGCAUUUGCCAAGGAUGUUUUCA